UUAAGUAAGAAAGGGCGUACGGUGGAUGCCUAGGCACUUGAAACUGAAGAAGGACGCAACAAACGGCGAAACGCGGCGGGGAGCUGUACGUAAGCAAAGAUCCGCCGGUAUCCGAAUGGGGGAACCCGGCAUGCGUAAUAGCAUGUCAUCCGCAGAUGAACAAAUAGUCUGCGAGAGAGGUACCCGGGGAACUGAAACAUCUAAGUACCCGGAGGAAAAGAAAACAACAGUGAUUCCCUGAGUAGCGGCGAGCGAAAGGGGAGGAGCCCAAACCAGACCGAGGUCUGGGGUUGAAGGACCGCGAUACGGCAAGAAUCAUGGUAGGAGAACGGCAUUGAAAGGCCGACCGGAGAGGGUGCAAGUCCCGUAUCCGAAACCGUGAGGAAGCCCAGCGGGAUCCUGAGUACGGCGAGACACGAGAAAUCUUGUCGGAAGCAGGCGGGACCAUCCGUCAAGGCUAAAUAUAAGCAAGUGACCGAUAGUGAACCAGUACCGUGAGGGAAAGGUGAAAAGAACCGCGGGAGCGGAGUGAAAUAGAACCUGAAACCGUAUGCUUACAAGAAGUCAGAGCACGUUAAGGUGUGAUGGCGUGCCUUUUGUAGAAUGAACCGGCGAGUUAUGUUAUCGUGCGAGGUUAAGCAGGAGAUGCGGAGCCGAAGCGAAAGCGAGUCUUAAUAGGGCGGCAGUACGAUGACAUAGACCCGAAACCGUGUGAUCUAGCCAUGACCAGGUUGAAGUUCAGGUGAAACUGAAUGGAGGACCGAACCGACCCCCGUUGAAAAGUUGGCGGAUGAGUUGUGGCUAGGGGAGAAAUUCCAAUCGAACACGGAUAUAGCUGGUUCUCCCCGAAAUAGCUUUAGGGCUAGCGUCGAGGAUGAGUCUUGUGGAGGUAGAGCACUGAAUGUACGAUGGCCCCAUCCCGGGGUACUGAGUAUAAUCAAACUCCGAAUGCCAUGAGAUAUUCCCGGCAGUCAGACCGUGGGUGAUAAGGUCCAUGGUCAAAAGGGAAACAGCCCAGACCGCCAGUUAAGGUCCCAAAAUGUAUGCUAAGUGGAAAAGGAUGUGGGGAUGCACAGACAACUAGGAGGUUGGCUCAGAAGCAGCCAUCCUUCAAAGAGUGCGUAACAGCUCACUAGUCGAGUGACCCUGCGCCGAAAAUGUACCGGGGCUAAGCAUACUACCGAAGCUGCGGAUUUGUAGUAAUACAAGUGGUAGGGGAGCGUUCCAUGCACGUGGAAGCCAUACCGAAAGGAGUGGUGGAGAGCAUGGAAGUGAGAAUGCCGGUGUGAGUAGCGAGAUGCAGGUGAGAAUCCUGCACACCGAUAGCCCAAGGAUUCCAGGGGAAGGUUCGUCCGCCCUGGGUAAGUCGGGACCUAAGGCGAGGCCGAAAGGCGUAGUCGAUGGAAAACAGGCAGAUAUUCCUGUACCCGCGAUGGAAAUGAAGGAAUGACGGAGAAGGCUAGCAUGAGCCACUUAUUGGAUUGUGGUCGAAGCGAAUAGCAGGUGCAUAGUCAAAUGCGUGCACGGGAUGUAAAACGUGACAGGUAAGCGAAACCCCUGGGGAGUAGCGAAGCAUGCGAGGCCAGCUUCCAGGAAAAGUUUCUAGUGCUGAUUCCAUAGCGGCCCGUACCAAAACCGACACAGGUGGGCAAGGAGAGUAUCCUGAGGUGAGCGAGAGAACUGUUGCCAAGGAACUCGGCAAAAUGACUCCGUAAGUUAGCGAGAAGGAGUGCUUAUGAAAGUAAGCCGCAGUGAAGAGGCCCAAGCGACUGUUUAACUAAAACACAGCUCUCUGCGAAGUCGCAAGACGAAGUAUAGGGGGUGACGCCUGCCCGGUGCUGGAAGGUUAAGAGGAUUUGUCAGUUUCGACGAAGCAAUGAAUUGAAGCCCCAGUGAACGGCGGCCGUAACUAUAACGGUCCUAAGGUAGCGAAAUUCCUUGUCAGGUAAGUUCUGACCCG
rnacentral:rRNA from 1 species